UUCCGGUUGAUCCUGCCGGAGGACAUUGCUAUUGGGAUUCGAUUUAGCCAUGCUAGUCGAACGAGGUCAGACUCGUGGCGAAUAGCUCAGUAACACGUGGCCAAGCUCCCCUUCGGUCAGCGAUACCCUCGGGAAACUGAGGUUAACAGCUGAUACAAAACGCCAGCUGGAAUGCGGCGUUUCAGAAAGACAUCGCUGAAGGAUGCGGCCGCGGCCGAUUAGGUAGACGGUGGGGUAACGGCCCACCGUGCCAGUAAUCGGUACGGGUGAUGAGAGUCAGAGCCCGGAGACGGUAUCUGAGACAAGAUUCCGGGCCCUACGGGGCGCAGCAGGCGCGAAACCUUUACACUGCACGGAAGUGCGAUAGGGGAAUCCCAAGUGCGAGGGCAUAUUAGCCCUCGCUUUUCUCGACCGUAAGGUGGUCGACGAAUAAGAGUUGGGCAAGACCGGUGCCAGCCGCCGCGGUAAUACCGGCAGCUCAAGUGAUGUCCCAUAUUAUUGGGCCUAAAGCGUCCGUAGCUGGCCGACCAAGUCUACCGGGAAAUCAACCCGCCCAACGGGUGGGCGUCCGGUAGAAACUGGCCGGCUUGGAACCGGAAGGCUCAGAGAGUACGUCCGGGGUAGGAGUGAAAUCCCGUAAUCCCGGACGGACUACCGAUGGCGAAAGCACUCUGAGAAGACGGCUUCGACAGUGAGGGACGAAAGCUCGGGUCUCAAACCGGAUUAGAUACCCGGGUAGUC
rnacentral:rRNA from 1 species